GACAGCAUCCGCCAUCACCAGCUGUGAGAAAUGAACUUCAUUCGUUCCGCUUCCUGGAUCUGCAGCGCGCGGGCGACGCGAGCGGCGCGUUCCCGGGAUACCUUCGGCCACUGCAGACCUCACACUUCAACGAUGCCCCUGAACAUAUCCCAAGGAUCGUGGUCAUGGACACAGACAGGAGGAGACAUGUCCGGUAAGAUCUUCACCCCAGCACUAAUACUGACCAGCAGAAAGAGAGGCUGAGUGAACUUAGCAUGGAAAGUGUGGAUGAGUUCAGCCUUGUCAUCUGUGGUGUCGUAAAAGGACAGAGAUCCUGCCGCCCAGUCCAGAUAGACUCCAACUCUCCAGGGUGAGCAGUCAGGAAGACGCAUCUCUACUCCUCCAUGAAGAGCAUUACAGAGAGAAGAGGGGGUACUCACCAAGAUGCCCCAGGAUUUAUUAUUAAGUCCUAUGCUACAGGCUGCAGAACUUCCCUUCCUGCUUAUAUCAUUAUAGGCCAUUCCAAUAGUGGCCCACCUGCCAAACCACUCCAGCUGGAAGAAAUGACGGCUGCUCAGACCUUCCCGACUCAUGAUUUGGUCUUGAUUUUUGAAACUUUCUGGAUGAUGUGAAUCAGGUUCUGGGUUUCUGCGAUGUUUCACAAGAGCCUCAUCUUCCUCUGACACCUGCACACUUGAAGAAGCGGUGUUUGGAUCCCAAGUCAGCUUGCACGUAUCUGAAAAUUUAAGUGUUAUGAUUGCACCAUAUGAUUUCAUAAUAUCAAUUUUAAGAAGAAAAUGGCUGACUAACAUUGCUGUAGAGUUUCCAUGUCACGCUGCUCCUCUAGGCCAUCCACACUGUAGGUAAAUGUUAAAGAGUCAAAUUUGAAGAAAUUGAACAUACAAAUAAAAGUGGUAACACUCUA